UACGUAGGGGGCAAGCGUUGUCCGGAUUUAUUGGGCGUAAAGAGCGUGUAGGCGGCUUGGUAGGUCCGCUGUGAAAACUCGAGGCUCAACCUCGAGAUGUCGGCGGAAACCACUUGGCUAGAGUCCGGAAGAGGAGAGUGGAAUUCCCAGUGUAGCGGUGAAAUGCGUAGAUAUUGGGAGGAACACCAGUGGCGAAGGCGGCUCACUGGACCGGUACUGACGCUGAGGCGCGAAAGCGUGGGGAGCAAACAGG
rnacentral:rRNA from 1 species